CCUACUUUCUGCAUCAGUGGGGAAUAUUGGACAAUGGGGGCAACCCUGAUCCAGCCAUGCCGCGUGUGUGAAGAAGGCCCUCGGGUUGUAAAGCACUUUCAGUGAGGAAGAACGCCUGGUGGUUAAUACCCAUCAGGAAAGACAUCACUCACAGAAGAAGCACCGGCUAACUCCGUGCCAGCAGCCGCGGUAAUACGGAGGGUGCGAGCGUUAAUCGGAAUUACUGGGCGUAAAGCGCGCGUAGGUGGCUUGAUAAGCCGGUUGUGAAAGCCCCGGGCUCAACCUGGGAACGGCAUCCGGAACUGUCAAGCUAGAGUGCAGGAGAGGAAGGUAGAAUUCCCGGUGUAGCGGUGAAAUGCGUAGAGAUCGGGAGGAAUACCAGUGGCGAAGGCGGCCUUCUGGACUGACACUGACACUGAGGUGCGAAAGCGUGGGUAGCAAACAGGAUUAGAUACCCGGGUAGUC
rnacentral:rRNA from 1 species